UGCUCCAUGGCUGAGUUGGUUACAGCGUCCGACUGUUAUAGCACGUUAGAUAACAUUGUGUCAUCGGAAGGUCGAGAGUUCGAGCCUCUCUGGAGCAG